rnacentral:rRNA from 1 species
ACUGAACGCUGGCGGCAUGCUUUACACAUGCAAGUCGAACGGCAGCGCGGGCUUCGGCCUGGCGGCGAGUGGCGAACGGGUGAGUAAUACAUCGGAACGUGCCCAGUAGUGGGGGAUAGCUCGGCGAAAGCCGGAUUAAUACCGCAUACGACCUGAGGGUGAAAGCGGGGGAUCUUCGGACCUCGCGCUAUUGGAGCGGCCGAUGGCAGAUUAGCUAGUUGGUGGGGUAAAGGCCUACCAAGGCGACGAUCUGUAGCUGGUCUGAGAGGACGACCAGCCACACUGGGACUGAGACACGGCCCAGACUCCUACGGGAGGCAGCAGUGGGGAAUUUUGGACAAUGGGCGAAAGCCUGAUCCAGCAAUGCCGCGUGUGUGAUGAAGGCCUUCGGGUUGUAAAGCACUUUUGGCGGGAACGAAAAGGACUGUGCCAAUACCACGGUUCGAUGACGGUACCCGCAGAAUAAGCACCGGCUAACUACGUG